CGGAGGCGGAGGCGGAGGAGGAGGCGGCGCUCCCGCUCGGCCGUAGAGCGGCGCAGGGACCCGCGCGGCCGUGACCCGGCGGCCACCCAGAGGCCGAGCGCGGCCGCAGCGGACAAAGGAGCAUGUCGGCGCCGAGGAGGGCGCGUCCUCCGGCCGCCACAAGGCUCCGGGCGCCCCCGGGCCCGCGCUGCGCUCUCGUCCGCCCGGGCGCCGGGGCGGCCCGCUAGGCCAGCGCUCCGCCGCUCGGCCGGCAGGCCCCGACCCGCCGCCCAGCCCGCAGCAUGGAGCCGUCCGAGCGCCUGCGGGGCCGCGCGCCGCCGCCUCUGUUGCUGCCGCUGGCUCUGCUCGCGCUGCUGGGAGGCGGCGGCGGGGCCGCGGCGCUGCCCCCGGGCUGCAAGCACGACGGGCGGCCCCGAGGGGCCGGCAGGGCGGCGGGCGCCGCAGAGGGCAAGGUGGUGUGCAGCAGCCUGGAGCUCGCGCAGGUCCUGCCCCCGGACACGGUGCCCAACUGCACGGUCACCCUGAUUCUGAGUAACAAUAAAAUAUCCGAGCUGAAGAAUGGCUCAUUUUCUGGGUUAAGUCUCCUUGAAAGAUUGGACCUCCGAAACAAUCUUAUUAGUAGUAUAGAUCCAGGUGCCUUUUGGGGACUGUCAUCGCUAAAAAGAUUGGAUCUGACAAACAAUCGAAUAGGGUGUCUGAAUGCAGACAUAUUCCGAGGACUCACCAAUCUGGUUAGGCUAAACCUUUCAGGGAAUUUGUUUUCAUCAUUAUCUCAAGGAACUUUUGAUUAUCUUGGCUCAUUACGAUCUUUAGAAUUUCAGACUGAGUAUCUGCUGUGUGAUUGUAACAUACUGUGGAUGCAUCGCUGGGUAAAGGAGAGAAACAUCACGGUACGGGACACACGGUGUGUUUAUCCUAAGUCUCUUCAGGCCCAGCCAGUCACAGGUGUGAAGCAGGAGUUGUUGACGUGCGAUCCUCCCCUUGAAUUACCAUCUUUCUACAUGACUCCAUCUCAUCGUCAAGUUGUGUUUGAAGGAGACAGCCUUCCUUUCCAGUGCAUGGCUUCAUAUAUUGAUCAAGACAUGCAAGUGUUAUGGUAUCAGGAUGGGCGAAUAGUCGAAACUGAUGAAUCCCAAGGUAUCUUUGUUGAAAAGAACAUGAUUCACAACUGCUCAUUGAUUGCAAGUGCCCUAACCAUUUCUAAUAUUCAGGCUGGAUCGACUGGAAAUUGGGGCUGUCAUGUCCAGUCCAAACGUGGGAACAAUACGAGAACCGUCGAUAUUGUGGUCUUAGAAAGCUCUGCGCAGUACUGUCCUCCCGAGAGGGUGGUAAACAAUAAAGGGGAUUUCAGGUGGCCCAGAACACUGGCAGGCAUUACUGCACAUCUGCAGUGUACUCGGAAUACCCACAGCGGUGGGAUCUAUCCUGGAAACGCACAGGAUGAGAGAAAGGCCUGGCGCAGAUGUGAUCGAGGUGGCUUUUGGGCGGAUGAUGAUUAUUCUCGCUGCCAAUAUGCAAAUGAUGUCACUAGAGUUCUUUAUAUGUUUAAUCAGAUGCCCCUCAAUCUUACCAACGCUCUGGCCACAGCCCGACAAUUAUUGGCUUACACGGUGGAAGCAGCCAACUUUUCUGACAAGAUGGAUGUUAUAUUUGUGGCUGAAAUGAUAGAGAAAUUUGGAAGAUUUACUAAAGAGGAAAAAUCAAAAGAGCUCGGUGAUGUGAUGGUUGACAUUGCAAGUAACAUCAUGUUGGCUGACGAGCGUGUCCUGGGGCUGGCGCAGAGGGAAGCUAAAGCCUGCAGUAGGAUCGUUCAGUGUCUACAGCGCGUCGCCACGUACCGGCUAGCAACUGGAGCUCAUGUUUAUUCAACAUAUUCACCCAAUAUUGCUCUGGAAGCUUAUGUCAUCAAGGCUGCUGGCUUCACUGGGAUGACAUGUACCGUGUUCCAGAAAGUGGCAGCUACUGACCGGACAGGCUUUUCUGACUAUGGGAGGCGGGAUCCGGAUGGAAACCUGGAUAAACAGCUGAGCUUUAAGUGCAAUGUUUCAAAUACAUUUUCAAGUCUGGCUCUGAAGAAUACUAUUGUAGAGGCUUCUAUUCAGCUUCCUCCUUCCCUUUUCUCACCAAAGCAAAAAAGAGAAGUCAGACCAAGUGAUGACUCUCUCUAUAAGCUUCAACUCAUCGCAUUCCGCAAUGGAAAGCUUUUUCCAGCCACCGGGAAUUCGACAAAUUUGGCUGAUGAUGGAAAACGGCGUACAGUGGUUACCCCAGUGAUUCUCACCAAAAUAGAUGGUGUGAACAUUGACACCCACCACAUCCCUGUUAAUGUGACCCUGCGUCGAAUUGCGCACGGAGCAGAUCCUGUGGCCGCCCAGUGGGAUUUCGAUUUGCUGAACGGACAAGGAGGCUGGACGUCAGAUGGGUGCCGUAUACUCUGCUCAGAUGAAAAUAUCACUGCCAUUCAGUGCUACUCCCUUAGUAACUAUGCGGUUUUAAUGGAUUUGACGGGAUCUGCACUCUAUACCCAGGCAGCCAAUCUCUUGCACCCUGUGGUCUAUACCACGGCUGUCAUUCUUCUCUUCUGCCUCUUAGUGGUCAUCGUCAGUUACAUAUACCAUCACAGUUUGAUUAGAAUCAGUCUCAAAGGCUGGCACAUGCUUGUGAACUUAUGCUUUCAUAUUUUUCUGACAUGUGUGAUCUUUGUGGGAGGAGUAACUCAAACUAGAAAUGCCAGCGUCUGCCAAGCAGUUGGAAUAAUUCUUCAUUAUUCCACCCUUGCUACAGUUCUCUGGGUGGGAGUGACAGCUCGAAAUAUCUACAAACAAGUCACUAGAAAAGCUAAAAGAUGCCAGGAUCCUGAUGAGUUGCCACCUCCACCAAGACCAAUGCUCAGGUUUUACCUGAUCGGUGGCGGGAUACCCGUUAUAGUUUGCGGCAUAACAGCAGCAGCAAACAUCAAGAAUUACGGUAGUCGGCCAAAUGCGCCCUACUGCUGGAUGGCAUGGGAACCCUCCUUGGGAGCCUUCUACGGGCCUGCAAGCUUCAUCACUUUUGUAAACUGUAUGUACUUUCUAAGCAUAUUUAUUCAGUUGAAAAGACACCCUGAGCGCAAAUACGAGCUGAAGGAACCCAGUGAGGAGCAGCAGAGGCUGGCAGCCAACGAAAAUGGCGAAGUAAAUCAUCAGGAUUCCCUGUCUCUCUCCCUCAUUUCGACGUCAGCCCUGGAAAAUGAGCAUACUUUCCAUUCUCAACUUCUGGGAGCCAGCCUUACCUUGCUCUUAUAUGUCGCUUUGUGGAUGUUUGGGGCCUUGGCUGUUUCUUUGUAUUACCCUUUAGACUUGGUUUUUAGCUUCUUUUUUGGAGCCACGUGUUUGAGCCUCAGUGCGUUUAUCGUGGUUCACCAUUGUGUCAACAGGGAGGACGUCCGGCUCGCGUGGAUCAUGACUUGCUGCCCGGGCCGGAGCGCGUACUCGGUCCAGGUCAACGUGCAGCCCCCCAGCUCCAGUGGGCCGAGCGGGGAGGCCCCCAAGUGCACCAACAGCAGCACAGAAUCUUCGUGCACAAACAAGAGUGCAUCGAGCUUCAAAAACUCCUCCCAGGGCUGCAAAUUAACAAACUUGCAGGCUGCUGCAGCUCAGUGCCAUAGCAACUCUCUACCUUUGAACGCCACACCUCAGCUUGACAAUAGUCUGACAGAGCAUUCGAUGGACAACGAUAUUAAAAUGCAUGUGGCGCCUUUAGAAGUUCCAUUUCGAACAAACGUGCACCCAAGCCGCCAUCAUAAGAACAGAAGUAAAGGGUACCGGGCCAGCAGACUCACAGUCCUAAGAGAAUAUGCCUAUGACGUCCCCACGAGCGUGGAAGGCAGCGUGCAGAAUGGCCUGUCGAAAAGCCGGCCGGGCAGUAAUGAAGGACACUCUCGGAGCCGAAGGGCUUACUUAGCCUACAGAGAGAGACAGUACAACCCUCCCCAACAAGAUAGCAGUGAUGCUUGUAGCACACUUCCCAAAAGCAGCAGGAAUUUUGAAAAGCCCGUUUCAACUAGUAGUAAAAAAGAUGCAUUAAGGAAGCCAACUGUAGUUGAACUUGAAAGUCAGCAGAAGUCUUAUGGCCUCAACUUGGCCAUUCAGAACGGACCAAUCAAAAGCACUGGGCAGGAUGGACCCUUGCUGGGUAUGGAUAGCACUGGCAAUGUGAGGACUGGAUUAUGGAAACACGAAACUACUGUGUAGCAUUGGUGGGCUUCCUGGGCAGAAAUCCAUAUAAACUGUGAUACUCACAUUCCUUUAAGCUAUGAACAUGUAAAAACCGACUGUUUACAGCCAACUUAGGGAUUCAAAAGAAUUUUGAAUAAACUUCAACUGAGGCUCAAAGAGUUUCUUACCUGCUGAAGUACCAGCAGGUUAUGCCACAUCCUGGACCAGGUCCAUGUUCUCUGAUGCCACGGCCGCUGUGCUUUGAUUGCUUCUCUGAAGGCAAGCACCCGUGCUCUUCACAGUGUCUUAUUAUGUAUAAUUUUACUAAACUUUAUUCUCAUCCUGGUUAUUUUGAGUUUUGUUUUGUUUUAAAUUUCAUUUAUUUAUUUAUUUUUGGCUGCGUUGGGUCUUUGUUGCUGCACGCGGGCUUUCUCCAGUUGCGGAGAUCAGGGGCCACUCUUUGUUGAGUGUGCCAGCCUCCCAUUGCGGUGGCUUCUCUGGUUGCGGAGCACGGGCUCUAGGCGCACAGGCUUCAGCAGUUGUGGCACGCGGGCUCAGUAGUUGUGGUACGUGGCCUCCAGAGAGCAGGCUCAGUAGUUGUGGCUCACGGGCCCAGUUGCUCCGUGGCUUGUGGGAUCUUCCCAGACCAGGGAUCCAACCCAUGUUCCCUGCAUUGGCAGGCAGACUCCUAACCACUGUGCCACCAGGGAAGUCCCUAUUUUGAGUUUUAAUUUCAUAAUGAGAUAUAAUUGGUCAUAUUCUACUUAAGGAAACACACAUGAUUUAUUCCAUGAAAGUUUUUCUUUAAAUCAAGCUGUUAUAUACUAUGUAAUGUGUGUACUAUGCACACUUUAUAUAUAUAUAUAAUGAUGUUAUAUGCUAAUCUAUUUUUAGGUAACAAUUAGAAAUUAGGUUUGUGUAUGAGUAUUUUUUGUGAUUUAUAUACAGGUGUAAAAGUAUGUUAAUAUUUCAGGUUGUAAAUAGGUGGCAACUAAUUUCUAAAUCUCAGGCUAUUUUGCACGUGUAACUUAAUGUAACUCUACAUCCAUGUUCACUAUUUAUCUAAAUUGGUAUAAUAUAAACAGAUGGCAAUUUAUGUGUAGAUGCUAAGGUUUAGAUUGUGUUUAUUAUUGAGAAGUAACAAUGUUAAAACCUUUAGGCCUGUGUAUUUCAGGCAUUGAGUUCAAAUACCCAAACUGAAGUUGGUUGAGACCAUAAAAAAUGAGGAAGUAAAAAAAUUAGCUGAAUGCGUUUGAUGCAGGAAUUAAACUAAAUCAUCAAGUUAAGUGUUGCAUACAACAGCAAUCCGAAAUUUAAAACAAAUGUUAAUUUUGUUUUUCCUUUCACAUUCCCAGAAUCAUUCAAUUACUUUAAUAUUCACUUCAGUGCUCUUAGCUAAGAAAUGAUUUGAUUAUUUAUAACUACUUAACGAUAUUUCCCGAACUUAAGUCAUUUUAUCACUUACGCCAAUUUUGCUGUAUUUUCCCUAAAUUUAUAUUAAUACUGUCAUAUGGAUCAACUCACUUGUUUUCCCACUGAAAUAUAAGUAGUAAUAAAACCAAUAGAUUUAUUUGUAUAAAUAAAGCAAACUCUUCAAGGAGAAAUUUGUAACUUUAUAAAUUUGUUAGUAAUAAAAAUCUUUGACUAUAUGUUGCUUGGUUUUAGACAAAGAUGAAAUAGCAAUCAAUAAGAUUUUUUUUAAGUUUUGGUAUUAAUUGAACUUUCUUCCCAACCUACCUACGGGUCUCCAGUCUAGAACCAUGUCUUAUAUUGGCCAUUAGAGGCUCAUAGCCAGUGGUAAUACUGGAAUACUGGAGGCAUCAAUUGAGGAACAUAAGUUGAGUAUUAACUUAAUCACUGUAGGUUAAUGAGUCCUGUCUUUCUACCUUCCGUGGUGUACCCAGCUCUGUGUGGCAUGAAGUCUCAGGCAGCCUCUGGUCGUAGGUUUUUUUCAGCAUCUUUUCACCGUGGAUGUCAUUGACUCAGAGGUGGAUACUGAGUGUGAACUUACAGGACCAUAAUAUUAAUAUUAAGAACCCCCCAUUUGUAUAGUCAGCAGUGGACCGCUACCUUUGCUUAUAGAGUUUGAUGCUUAGAAUUAGCUUAGAACUUGUUUAACGAAGUUUUGCUUCGUUCUGUUUGAAACAUGUACUGUCCUUCUGUGUCAUGUAUAUAAAAUGGUAGAAGGAAAAAGAGUUAAAUUCCGUUGUAUGCUGCUGCCAUCUAGUUUGAGCCUAUCUGAUGAAGGCUUUUAUUUACCAGAGUAUUCUAAGUAUAUUCAAAAAGUUCAAAAUAUUUUCAGAGGGCUCUUCAGAUAUAGUCCUUAAUGGGGUUGUUCCAACAAUAUAAAGAAUUCAGCUAAUCAUAUUUUCAAUUUUGCAAUCAUUGUGUUCAUUCUGUCUUGGCAUAUAAUAUUGAUGAAGUUUUGCUUGUACAGAAAAAUUGAGUGUUCAGAUGAGCAAAUAUAUGCAACUUAUGAUUGCUUGCAAAGCCAGGUCUAGUCAUGUGUACCAACUCAGGUUGAAGAUUGUGUCUAGGAAGAUACUCCACGUGAAAGUAAUGAACUCCAGUUCUAAACAGGUAUUUUUUGUUAUCAGUGUCCAUUCCUUUAUGAAACUGUGUAAAAACGUCAAUUUGGUGGCCAACCAUGGUUAACAAAUUUUUACCGCUUAGUUUUUUUUUUUUAACUUUCAUGUUGAGUCUGGGUAAACUUUUUUAAAAAGUCAACAUUUUAGAGGCUUAACGCAAUAAAAGUUUCUUGCUGAA